rnacentral:rRNA from 1 species
UUGCACGCUGGCGGCAGGCCUCACACAUGCAAGUCGCGCGGAUGAAGGGAGCUUGCUCCUGGAUUCAGCGGCGGACGGGUGAGUAAUGCCUAGGAAUCUGCCUGGUAGUGGGGGAUAACGUCCGGAAACGGGCGCUAAUACCGCAUACGUCCUGAGGGAGAAAGUGGGGGAUCUUCGGACCUCACGCUAUCAGAUGAGCCUAGGUCGGAUUAGCUAGUUGGUGGGGUAAAGGCCUACCAAGGCGACGAUCCGUAACUGGUCUGAGAGGAUGAUCAGUCACACUGGAACUGAGACACGGUCCAGACUCCUACGGGAGGCAGCAGUGGGGAAUAUUGGACAAUGGGCGAAAGCCUGAUCCAGCCAUGCCGUGUGUGUGAAGAAGGUCUUCGGAUUGUAAAGCACCUUAAGUUGGGAGGAAGGGCAGUAAGUUAAUACCUUGCUGUUUUGACGUUACCAACAGAAUAAGCACCGGCUAACUUCGUG